GUGUUACCCACUGCUGUCCCGUUGCCUCCUAUAAACGUGGAUAAAACAGCAAUCAAACGUCAAAUCAAGGAAAUGCUAGAAACAGCCUUGAGUUUGAGUAUUCAGUAUGACUAUUGAAGUUUUUUGCUUAAAACGAGAAAAAUAAACAGUCCACAAGGGGAUUGGCAUUGGUUAUAGUUCCACGUCAGACUUCAGACAACAAAAUAUCAGUGUUAAAGAAAAAUCAGUGAAAAGAUCGUGCAAAAAACGUGUGGAAUCAAUGAAAGGCUUUUUACUUACAGAUUCAAUAGAGAAAAAAAGUCAAGAUUGAUAACUUUUAAUCUUUUCAUUCAACAUCUAUUACAGCCAAUCUCUUACAAUGUGAACAGCAAGAUUACUAAACUGACAUAUUUGAACCGACAUUGACGCGAUGAUCAUUAAAAAAAACUGACGUUCGGGAAGAAAUUAGCUUGGUGAGGAAACUCUUGUCAUGGAGAAAAGUAAUAUGUGGCUGUACUCAAGCCUCCAACAAAUGAACUCUUGCUGCAGUUUUAACCAAGACGGUAUUUGAAAAGCCCCUUUAGAAAGAGCUAUACUAUCUGAGGCAGGUGACUCCCAUGAUACAAUUAUCAAGCAAGUAUAAGGCAAGGACAAUUGUAAUCUGGAACUCGACGAACAGGUCAAUGUUGAGAAAGAAGAAGAUGACUGCUCAAUACAAUUAAAUCAAAGAAGGACAAUACGGAAGCUCUGGUGGAAGCUAUGAAAGAGUUUGGCGUUGAAGUGGAUAUCGAUUUAAUUUAACUAGUGUGAAAUCCCAAAGUAGAGCCAGAAGGUCCAUCUAUCACCGGCACACCAAUAUCCAACGGAACUUACUCCACAAGACUGGCAUAAGUGUAGUGCCUACUGAAAUUAACUUACGAAUCAUAGUUCCGAUGGAUUCACUUUCAAGGAGAAAAGCAGUCGACAGUCCCUAUAGGAGGAGAGACACUGUAACUGCCAUUUGCUUAGCGAUUGAGAUUAGCGAAAGUCGUGGAUACCAUCUGUCAAUCAAUGCGUCUUGUCUACCGACCCGGAUCCCCCGUGUGUAUAUCGAUCCUCUCGAUCCUGGUUGCUUACAUCCGCCAAGUUUUUAUUGACACUAGCCAGCAAAAAGCUCGCAGAAACAUUCGCGAAGAUAACGGAAAAGAGACACCAACACGGGGGAAAGAAACAAAAGGACGCCAGUUCAUCCAUUCUCACGCUCAAAAGAAGUUCCGUUGAUUACUGUACCCCAAGCUUGUCUGCUUAACAUUUAAGGGUUGUGAGUUUGGGACCGGCGAAUGUAGUUUUUAAAGUAAAAUAAGUCGUCGAAGAACGCUCCGUCAACGUCAAUUUUUAUUUGCCAAUAAACAGUGCCCGAAGAGUUCAUACCGAGACCGCUAUUUCAUGUGCCUUGGCUUGCAGGAUACGAAUUAGGUAAUCUAAAAUUGAGCGAAGAUGGUGACGAGAGUUGCAACGUGGAAGCGGCUCACCUCUGGAAGAUGUUUAGCGAAGAUGACGUUGAAGUGAAAUGCAGUAUGUUUCCUCCAAGUGCUGCCAAACGCUCAGAGUCUGAUUGAAAAGUGUUCGAAUCCGGUCAAUCGGUCUAUCCAUCUAAUUGGUCCAUUACUUCCUGGUUGAUUUGAUUUUCAUUUUCACCAUCAUUUAGAGAUUGACUUAACAUUUGCUGUUGCCUUGUACUCUUGUAAAUAGUAUGUUACAGUGAAUAGAAAUGCAUUCUGAAUAACUGGCAGGUUAGCUAACCAA
rnacentral:lncRNA from 1 species